rnacentral:pre_miRNA from 1 species
AGCUACCUGAAUCCGUGCAGAGAUUUCAUUAGAUAUCAACCCAUGAGAACUAAUCAUACUUCCAAGAUAAGUGAAGUU